rnacentral:rRNA from 1 species
AGCGAACGCUGGCGGCAGGCCUAACACAUGCAAGUCGAACGAACCCUUCGGGGUUAGUGGCGGACGGGUGAGUAACACGUGGGAACGUGCCUUUAGGUUCGGAAUAACUCAGGGAAACUUGUGCUAAUACCGAAUGUGCCCUUCGGGGGAAAGAUUUAUCGCCUUUAGAGCGGCCCGCGUCUGAUUAGCUAGUUGGUGAGGUAAUGGCUCACCAAGGCUACGACCAGUAGCUGGUCUGAGAGGAUGACCAGCCACAUUGGGACUGAGACACGGCCCAAACUCCUACGGGAGGCAGCAGUGGGGAAUCUUGCGCAAUGGGCGAAAGCCUGACGCAGCCAUGCCGCGUGGAUGAUGAAGGUCUUAGGAUUGUAAAAUCCUUUCACCGGUGAAGAUAAUGACUGUAGCCGGAGAAGAAGCCCCGGCUAACUUCGUGCCAGCCGCCGCAGUAA